GGAUCACGAUCUAUCUCCUCUGGUAGUUGAACAAAUCUAUAGAAGACUCAAAAGUUCACUACAACAUUUGCCCUUUUUUACUGUUACACUGUUUAUCUGCUUCCCACAUAAUCGUGUGCGUUCGAUGAGUGGGUCUAACAGAUAUCUAGUCGUCCAUGCACAUCUCCCAGGCGCUUUCCCCUUUCUGCCCUCCUCCAAUCGAUUGAUCCAUCCCCUUCCCCCGAUCCACAAGUGUUUCUCUUCUUCAGCAACAUCGAUCUCAUCCGGCUCCUGCCUAUACCCGCGGGGAUCAUGAGCAUCUCUACCUCCGGAGCUUUCUCUCCCCCUCGACCCCCCUCCAGAUCUGCCCCAACUCUCUCCCCUUCGGUUCCCUGAAGAUCUGCACUGACGCCGACCAUUUGCUGCCGCUGGAAACUUCGUUCUCCCCGGCUGCCACCACAUCAGUCGCCUUAGCCCACCAUCCUGUUAACGCUUGGACUGCUUCCAUGAUGCCUUAGACUUCAGGAUCUCCGCUGCUACAGAUGGUCCAGCACUCUGACUCUCAAAACACAAUUGGAGGGUAGCUUCAAGCAUUGAUAUCAUUUCUUCACCCCCCCCCCCCCCCCCCCCCCCCCCGCGAAAACUGAAGGCAAAUCGACGGCAUGGACGGCCAUGCGUGUUUGCUCAGUUCAUGCCAAUGCUUAUAGGUGAUGUUAAUUCAUUUCUUGAUGAAGUUUCCAUAGCAUUCCGCACUAAUGCACUCUUGGCAGUCUGCACGGCACUAUUUAUCAGAUCAGCCUGCUGGUAUGCUCACAGCUCUCUGCACAUUCUUGGGUUAUUUGGUUACCUUAGUUUGACUCAUGUGCUUGAUAAGCACCUUUGUGCUUAUAAAAAAUAUAUAAAUGAUAUGUUUUUAGGGGAUUUAGUUGCAUUGCUACUAAAUCUAUCUUAGGGUACCUUUGAAUUUUCCACGUUCUAUUGUGUUACUCACUUGCUUCCUAUAGGAGGAAAGAUUAGGGAUUUCUAUGUUGCCUGCAACCAGUUUAUGAAUAGGUAAACGGCCAUGGCUUCAUCUAUUGGACUAUUGCUAUAUAUGCUUUGCAACAAGUCAAUUUUGGAACUGAUAGUCAGAUGCUUACUCCUCCGUACAGCGAAGAACUAUUAACAUGAAUGAGCAUGUAGGUUGGGACCUAUUUAGAUUCGUACUUGAUAUUGUAUAUGCAGUUCAAAUUAGCUGUAGAGAACUCCCUCAGUGAAAGAAACCGACUCAAUGACUUCUUUAUGGUUACAUGUAUAUCUACCUAGCCCCCGCAGCAGUUGCCGCGGGGUCUCAUCUAGUAUAUGAAAAUCAUCAGAGCGGGAAUUAGAACAGAACACGUCCAUUUUUCUUUCUUUCAGGUUCAGAUUAUUUCUCCUCUAGCAGUCUGGCUUCGUCUGAAACCAGGAGCGGCGACUGGCUGCCUGGGCCGACGAUUUGAGGUGUCGGCGGCACACGUAUGGGGCUCCUUGGGCAGCAGCGUACGAAGGUGACUCCCCUCAGCGGCACCAGCGGCAGCGCACUUCAGGGGCGGGGGCGGUGGCGCCCGAUGGGGUCAAUGCCAGGGCCGCCUGCGGGGGGUCACAGUGGUGGCGAUGCUGGCACAACACAAACGUGGAGCCGAGGUGGCGGCACAGGACGGCCGGAGCCAGGGCGUGUGUAGCCAGGGCGGCAGCGCGAGACAGCCGGAGUCGGGGCGUCGUUGCGGCGUGUGUGUAGAUUAGAACAGACAGUCUAUGACCUAUGACCUAGGUAUAUACAUCUAUUAAUAUGUGGUGAAUGGUAUAUACAUAACAUGGUAUACACAUGUAUUAGUAUAGGGUACACCAAUUACUAUAUUACCCUUGGCUAAUUAUUUAUAUUUUAAAUAUAUAUUUUUAUUAUUAUCUUUUAAUCAAUGGUUAGGAAUAUUCAGAAAGUAACGGUACCAGAUGGUACUGGUGGUACUGUACAACCGCUGUAAACAAGCUCAUAGAAUAUAUUCAUUGUUUCACUA